CGGCCGCGGCGGGAGUGUGGAGUCGCGUCCCCCGCUGCCGAGCCAGGGACAUAGCAAGCUUCUCAAGACAUGGUUAAGAAGCUUCCUUUCUUUGUGAGAAUCUAGUGAAUGGACCUGACUGGACUUUUUAAGCCCAUCAAUAAACAUGAGCGGUACCAAGCCUGAUAUUUUGUGGGCACCACACCAGGUUGAUAGAUUCGUUGUAUGUGACUCAGAGCUGAGCCUUUAUCAUGUGGAAUCGGCUGUGAAUUCAGAACUCAAAGCUGGAUCAUUACGUUUAUCUGAAGACUCUGCAGCUACAUUACUGUCAAUAAACUCAGAUACACCCUAUAUGAAAUGUGUUGCGUGGUAUCUCAAUUAUGAUCCUGAGUGUCUCCUAGCAGUUGGACAAGCAAAUG
rnacentral:lncRNA from 1 species